rnacentral:rRNA from 1 species
AUGAACGCUGGCGGCGUGCCUAAUACCUGCAAGUCGAGCGCACAGAUGAGGAGCUUGCUCCUCUGACGUUAGCGGCGGACGGGUGAGUAACACGUGGAUAACCUACCUAUAAGACUGGGAUAACUUCGGGAAACCGGAGCUAAUACCGGAUAAUAUAUUGAACCGCAUGGUUCAAUAGUGAAAGACGGUUUUGCUGUCACCUAUAGAUGGAUCCGCGCCGCAUUAGCUAGUUGGUAAGGUAACGGCUUACCAAGGCAACGAUGCGUAGCCGACCUGAGAGGGUGAUCGGCCACACUGGAACUGAGACACGGUCCAGACUCCUACGGGAGGCAGCAGUAGGGAAUCUUCCGCAAUGGGCGAAAGCCUGACGGAGCAACGCCGCGUGAGUGAUGAAGGUCUUCGGAUCGUAAAACUCUGUUAUUAGGGAAGAACAAAUGUGUAAGUAACUAUGCACGUCUUGACGGUACCUAAUCAGAAAGCCACGGCUAACUACGUG